rnacentral:ncRNA from 1 species
UUCAAGACAUUGACGGAGAGAAAAAUACUAUAUUUUAAUUACAGAGAACCAACAUUUGCUGAGAGUUGGAUAUUAAACUAGUAUAUAAUACUCACUCCUGAGUUGCCAAUCUGAAUUUAUUUUAGUAAGAUUGGACGGUUGUCACCGAUAUAUGACUAAAGUUUAAGUAUUAACUAAGUAUUAAAGUGUUUAUUACUUAUUAAGUCAUAUACUUUAACUUUAAUAGAGGCAUUUUUUUUAAUGUAAACUAGGGUGGUACCACGAAUAUUGGCUUUCGUCCCUAUG